GAUGAAGAACGUAGCGAAAUGCGAUAAGUAAUGUGAAUUGCAGAUUUCAGUGAAUCAUCGAAUCUUUGAACGCACCUUGCGCUCCUUGGUAUUCCGAGGAGCAUGCCUGUUUGAGUGUCAUUAAAUUCUCAACUCUCCAACUGUUGUCAUGACUGGUGGUAGAGCUUGGACGUGAGGGUUCUGCCGGCUCCUUGUUGAGUCUGGCUCCCUUGAAAAUGAUUAGCGCAGCUUUGCACUGUCCGCUACAGGUGUGAUAAUUUAUCUACGCCCGACUAGCGACGCGCAUGAAUGGCUUUGUGCUUCUAACCGUCUCGAAAGAGACAAUACCUUUUGAACUUGACCUCAAAUCAGGUAGGACUACCCGCUGAACUUAAGCAUAUCAAUAAGCGGAGGA
rnacentral:misc_RNA from 1 species